GGACUUACAACAACACAUACAUUAAAAUUAUAAUUAAAUUAAUUAUUAAAUUGGACUUGGGUUUUAUUUUUUUAUAUUUGGGUAGGGCUUUUAGUUUAUUUUUAUUUUUUGAGUUAGGUACUUGGGCUACAUUUAUAUUGAGUUGGAUUAUUCCACAAAACUAUUCUUGAAUGUUUAAAAAAAGUAACUAAUUCAGUUAUUUCAGUUUAGGUUAUCAAAAUCGAAAUCAAACUAAAUUAAUCAUUUAAAUCAAUAUAAU
rnacentral:lncRNA from 1 species